AUCCUCUCAGGGUCGUCCCUGGAGAGUUUCCAGUACUCUACCGGUCUCCGCUACAGGAGGGAGAGUCAAGCAGAGGCAUAGCCAAUCCAUUCCUAGCUUGGCCAGUGGCUAGAGAGUGGAAGGCCAUCUGCUACGAGU